GGAUUAGAUACCCUGGUAGUCCACGCCGUAAACGAUGGAUACUAGCUGUCGGGACCUCGGUCUCGGCGGCCAAGCGAAAGUGAUAAGUAUCCCACCUGGGGAGUACGUUCGCAAGAAUGAAACUCAAAGGAAUUGACGGGGGCCCGCACAAGCGGUGGAGCAUGUGGUUUAAUUCGAUGAUACGCGAGGAACCUUACCAGGGCUUAAAUGUAGGUUGCAUGGGGCAGAGACGCCCCUUUCUUCGGACCACCUACAAGGUGCUGCAUGGUUGUCGUCAGCUCGUGUUG
rnacentral:rRNA from 1 species